GGGUUGGGGUGGGGGGACGACUUCAAGGCCCCCUUCCCUGUGCAUCUGUCAAAUGAAGACCAGGAGCCGCUCGCCCGAUCUGUGCCUCAGUCUCCCCAGUCGUGUGAAAGAGCCUGUGUUUGGGUUGGGAGGCUUCGCUGGAGACCUGGUCCCUCCAUGAAGACCAAGUGGGGGUCUCAGAGCCACCAUCCCCCCACCAGAGGCUUCCAGGGCUCUGGAAGGGGCAGGGAAGCAUGGGGACCCGCCCCCCAGGAUCCAGCCUUGGCUCCUGGGCUUCUCCGCGGUGCCCCACGGAGAAAAAACAGCGAAGGACAACACAGCGCGGUUUGCCAGGCACCAGGCAGGCACUCUGCCUACAUCGGCUCAGCCAGGUCCAAAACAGCCAGGAAAGCUCAGCUCUGGGACAGCUGGAAGGGUCCCUCCCCAGGUGAACUCACCAGGACUGAGCAGGUGCGCCUGCCCACCCCCAGCCAGGGCCUGGGCCAGAAAGAACCACAAACCACAAACCGACAACCAGAAAAGCUGCUGCGAUUUACUAAACUUCAAUUUAGUUUUCACCGAGCUGCUUUUGCUUCUCCCAAAGCAAAAGAAGAAACAGACUUCUCUCAAACAUGAAAUAAAGGACAGCGACACAGGGAAGGACCCCGCACUUGGCUCCCAGGGGUGGGGAGCAUCUUCUUCCCUCCCCGCUCCUCCCCACCUCCCCACCCUCUCAGGCUUCCGGCUCCUCUGCAGGCCAGCAGACCAGCCCCUAGGGUAGAGCCAGGAGAGCCAGGCCCAGAGAGGGUCCCGCAGGCUCCCCUGGGCCCCCAGCGCCCCCUCCCCACCUUCCUGAGCCUCCGGACCUGCGGUGGCCCCUCCCUCUCUGCUUGCCCCCAUUCCCUCCAGCACCUGCCUGGGCUGGAUUCACUUUGACCUCUGCAGUGCCUGGCCCAGCCCAGGUGCUUGGAGAACUCGGGGGACUGUGAAUAGAUACGUAGGAUCGGGAUUGAACCUCCUGAGCUGUUUAGAUGCCUUGUGGCCCACAUCUCACGUUUCCACGGAAGGAGGAGCUGGGGCUCCACUCCCCACAGGGAACCAUGAGAGAGAACCUGAGGCCCCCCUCUCUCCUGUCCCCCUGGGGAGCUGCAAUGGCUGGUCAGAGGUGAGGUUUGCUAGACAGUCUCCUCUCAAAUGGGCAAGGCCUAGACCCUGGGAGCAGGUCAUCAGAAGUCCGUUCUACCCCAGCAGCACCAGCAACAAACCUCCACCUGUUUGAGUCCCUGGGAGAGGGGAUGCUCUGCUAGCUUCCUCAAACCCCAGCAGCACAGCCCUCUCCCCACAUGGACCACAUCUGGGGGAACCACGUCCUCCUCACCUUGAUGUCUCUGCGCCCCAGCCUGCACCACACCUCGUGUCCCCCACCCGGGUGUGGGGACGUGAACGGAUGAUCCCUGGGCCCUUCCCACCCUCCUCUCCCAGGUAAUCUAUUUCUAGAUGAAUAGAAAGGGCAGCCCUGCUCGCAGGCACUCGCCCAGGCUGAGCCAUGUUCUAAGAGCAAGAAGGAGGCCACAGUGGGGGCGGGGGCCCUUUUCCUCCACGGUUAAUGCCCUAAAGCCUCUCUCUGUACGUGGUUAUCUGACACUGGUGAGCCUGGGAGCACGUCUGGGGCCACAUGGACAGCAUCACCUUCAUCUCUGCAUCCCCAGGGCCUGGCUCCAGGCUCAGAACACAGGCAAUUCUCCAUCAACAACCAAAGGCAGGUCCCUGCCCCGAGCCAGCGUAGCGCCACCCUCACCAGUGGGGACCCAGGGCAGGGGGCGGGGGGCAGCAGCAGCAUUCCAGGUCCACAGAGUGGAACUCAGACCUUGCACUGAAUUCUUGCAACUCGCUUAUAUGAUCAGGUGUGAAACAUAAUCCCUGACCCUUCAGUUAUGCAACAUGCCAUCCGAGUGUGUACCAAGUGUGUACUGAGCUCCCGCUGUGUGCCAGACUCUGCUCUUAGCACUGGGGAAAUGCUGGGAGUGAAAACAGAUACAGACACCUGCCCUGUUAAGCCCACAUCCAGUGGUGGUGCAGGGGAGACAACAGAUACAUCUACACACAGAUGGGGAUCCAGGGC
ensembl:lncRNA